GACACGUCACUAAAUCGGACGCAUAGACUGACCUCAAGUGGUCAGAUCUACUUUCCUCGAGUGGCGCUCAUUGUCCAUUAACAGCAAGGGCCAACGGCAGAAACGCACAUAAUAACCAGCCUUCUGGUUUCUUUCUCUCGCGAACGCUGCUUUUCUCCACAAAUACCAGACCAAAAUACAGACAGUUCCCUCAAACUAUUUUUCUUUAUUCUAACAACGACAAAGCCUUUAUCCAUGUUCAACUUGUGGAUGGUAUAAGGUUAAACUUCCAUCCGUUUAGAGAUACUUUGGUACGGAAGGGCAGAAGGUACAAGUCGAACCGUUAUUAGUAAUCGCUUUCUGUCAGGUCGGGUGUGUUUGCGCCACACGGGGACGCCAAUGGUCUGUUUGAGUGGCAAGGAGGACCAAUCUUUAGGAUUUAUCUGAUAACUUAUUACAACAAAUAAAUCGAAGCUACAACAGAUCAAACAUGAAAUAAGUAAAAUGCCUUAUUCUUUUUCUUUAAGAAAUUAAAAUACAAUGCUUUUUCUUUUUUUACCUCCAGGACCUUACAUUUUAAUUAAUGUGCGGCUUGCUCUGCAAGGCCGUUUUUCCGUUGAGAAAGUCGGCUUUGAGACCCACAACCCGUAUCUUAUAUUCAUGAGUCUGUACUGUCUUUACAACUUAUGCGGAAAGAAAAAGUCACAAAGUCCAAAUCCAAAACCUGAAACUUGACAACGUUCUGUGCCAACCAAUUUGCAUGGGAAACCAGUCUUACCUGCCAACGCCCACAGAGAAACAGCCUGCCUACAAAUAUGUGUCUCACAGUCCCUUCACUGUGUUCCCUAACGGCGGUGAGUAGCACGACAGAAGGUCUGGAGGUCGGCCUGGACCAGGAACACACACCCGAUGGACUCCAAUCCACACUCAUCCGGGCCCGAUUUGGGAGGGCGACUACGGCUGGAGGGAUUCCCCUCAGGUUCUAUGGAAACCCUGGCCAAUCCCGGGACCCCUUGCAGCACCCUGGAUGGAGAGAAACACAACCAUGAACAUGGAGAAUGUGGUUUUUCAUUAGACAGCUCUCUGUCCUCAGAAGACAGUGACCAGGAGUGUGUCAGUAAGAAGCAGAAGAAAAAGAAGAAGCUGACAAAGAAAAAGAAGAAGGAUUCCAGUUCAUCGUCUUCAUCGUCGUCCUCCUCUUCCUCCUCUUCUUCCUCCUCCUCUUCCUCAUCUUCAUCCUCCUCAAGCAGCUCGUCAGACAGCGACAGUGAGGUAAUGUCGGACACAGCUAAAUGCAUGUGCUACAAGGAAUAA
rnacentral:lncRNA from 1 species